rnacentral:rRNA from 1 species
UACGAAGGGGGCUAGCGUUGUUCGGAUUUACUGGGCGUAAAGCGCACAUAGGCGGAUCGUUAAGUCGGGGGUGAAAUCCUGGAGCUCAACUCCAGAACUGCCUUCGAUACUGGCGAUCUCGAGUCCGGAAGAGGUGAGUGGAACUCCUAGUGUAGAGGUGGAAUUCGUAGAUAUUAGGAAGAACACCAGUGGCGAAGGCGGCUCACUGGUCCGGUACUGACGCUGAGGUGGCGAAAGCGUGGGGAGCAAACAGGG